rnacentral:rRNA from 1 species
GAUCCUGGCUCAGGACGAACGCUGGCGGCGCGCCUAACACAUGCAAGUCGAACGAGAGAGAGGGAGCUUGCUUCCUCAAUCGAGUGGCGAACGGGUGAGUAACGCGUGAGGAACCUGCCUCAAAGAGGGGGACAACAGUUGGAAACGGCUGCCAAUACCGCAUAAGCCCACAGCUCGGCAUCGAGCAGAGGGAAAAGGAGCAAUCCGCUUUGAGAUGGCCUCGCGUCCGAUUAG